GAUAGUACCUUACUACUUGGAUAACCGUGGUAAUUCUAGAGCUAAUACAUGCUGAAAACCUCGACUUCGGAAGGGGUGUAUUUAUUAGAUAAAAAACCAAUGCCCUUCGGGGCUUUUUGGUGAUUCAUAAUAACUUAACGAAUCGCAUGGCCUUGCGCCGGCGAUGGUUCAUUCAAAUUUCUGCCCUAUCAACUUUCGAUUGUUGGGUAGUGGCCAACAAUGGUGUUUACGGGUAACGGGUUAGUUAUCACCAUUCUGAGGGAGUUGAAGCAUUAUGCUAACUGUUUCCAAAGGGAAUUAGGGUUCUAUUCCGGAGAGGGAGCCUGAGAAACGGCUACCACAUCCAAGGAAGGCAGCAGGCGCGCAAAUUAUCCAAUCCCGACACGGGGAGAUAGUGGUAUGUUCAGGCUGUCUGCCUUUGAACUCUGAGCUCGAUGCUAACGUUUCCAAUAGACAAUAAAUACUGAUCUGGGGCAUUUUUAUGUCUCAGAAUUGGAAUGAGUGUAAGCCUCUAUCACUGUUUGGAAAGAAAAAUUGUAUACUAACUUUUAUGUUUGCAGACAAUUUAAAUCCCUUAACGAGGAACAAUUGGAGGGCAAGUCUGGUGCCAGCAGCCGCGGUAAUUCCAGCUCCAAUAGCGUAUAUUAAAUUUGUUGCAGUUAAAAAGCUCGUCGUUGAAACUUGGAUUUGGUCGGUCGGUCCGCCUCACCGCGUGCACUGAUUCGACCGGAUCUUUCCUUCUGGGGAAGCGCAUGCCCUUUAUUGGGCGUGUCGGGGAACCAGGACUUUUACUUUGAAAAAAUUAGAGUGUUCAAAGCAGGCCUAUGCUCGAAUACAUUAGCAUGGAAUAAUAGAAUAGGACGUGUGGUUCUAUUUUGUUGGUUUCUAGGACCGCCGUAAUGA
rnacentral:rRNA from 1 species